GGGCUGACUUGUUCUGCUUCAGAAAGUUCUAGGCAUAAAAAGACCGCUCCAGCCUUGGCUCUGAGUGACCUCUCAGCUCUGGGGCCCAAAACCAGAUUCACAGGGAGAUCAAGUAUUUUGCCCAAGAGCACACAGCUAGAGAGUGGAGAAGUCCGGAUUCAACCCAGACAGAUUGACUCCAGAGCGUGUGCUAUUCGUGGCUAUGCCAGAAUGCCCUGAUGGCCUCAGGUUUGCCUUGCCAACUGACAAAGGCGACUGUUUCCUACCCAUUGGCUCAGAUGGUUCCAGCUUCCUACCCUUCCAGUUAAAAUAAACAAAAACGAGGGUCUUGAGUGUCUAUGAUUUUCAUAAGAUCUAUGGCGUUUCUUCUGCAGAUGAUCAACAGUUGCCUGCCUUGGACUUUGGAGUUCCCAAGAACUAGAAAAUCCAGGUCAGGAACUGUAUCUUUGCUCAGCCACCUGCAAACAGACUUGAGAACAAUGUAAACCACCCUCUGCAGGAUAUUGAUUCUGAUGGAGUAAAUGUUGAUUAAGCAGA
rnacentral:lncRNA from 1 species